rnacentral:rRNA from 1 species
AUACGGAGGGUGCAAGCGUUACUCGGAAUCACUGGGCGUAAAGCGCGCGCAGGCGGCUAUUUAAGUUGGAUGUGAAAGCCUACGGCUCAACCGUAGAACUGCAUCCAAAACUAUUUAGCUAGAGUGUGGGAGAGGAAGAUGGAAUUAGCUGUGUAGGGGUAAAAUCCGUAGAGAUAACUAGGAAUACCAAAAGCGAAGGCAAUCUUCUGGAACACUACUGACGCUGAGGCGCGAAGGCGUGGGGAGCAAACAGGAUUAGAAACCCCGGUAGUCC